CUCCCAAACCCCUGUGAACAUACCUUAAUGUUGCCUCGGCGGAUCAGCCCGCGCCCCGUAAAACGGGACGGCCCGCCAGAGGACCCAAACUCUAAUGUUUCUUAUUGUAACUUCUGAGUAAAACAAACAAAUAAAUCAAAACUUUCAACAACGGAUCUCUUGGUUCUGGCAUCGAUGAAGAACGCAGCAAAAUGCGAUAAGUAAUGUGAAUUGCAGAAUUCAGUGAAUCAUCGAAUCUUUGAACGCACAUUGCGCCCGCUGGUAUUCCGGCGGGCAUGCCUGUUCGAGCGUCAUUUCAACCCUCAAGCCCCCGGGUUUGGUGUUGGGGAUCGGCUCUGCCCUUCUGGGCGGUGCCGCCCCCGAAAUACAUUGGCGGUCUCGCUGCAGCCUCCAUUGCGUAGUAGCUAACACCUCGCAACUGGAACGCGGCGCGGCCAUGCCGUAAAACCCCAACUUCUGAAUGUUGACCUCGGAUCAGGUAGGAAUACCCGCUGAACUUAAGCAUAUC
rnacentral:rRNA from 1 species